rnacentral:rRNA from 1 species
CCCUUGGAAAAGGGCAUCAUAGAGGGUGAUAAUCCCGUACAUGGCUUGGAGCGCCCGAAGCUUUGUGAUACGCUUUCUAAGAGUCGAGUUGUUUGGGAAUGCAGCUCAAAAUGGGUGGUAAAUGCCAUCUAAGGCUAAAUAUUGGGGAGAGACCGAUAGCGAACAAGUACAGUGAUGGAAAGAUGAAAAGAACUUUGAAAAGAGAGUUAAACAGUACGUGAAAUUGCCAAAAGGGAAGGGUAGGAGGUCAGAGAUGCGGCCUGGGAUUCAGCCUUGCUUUUGCUUGGUGUUUUUCCC